ACGAGGUGUGCGAGCGUUGUUCGGAAUCACUGGGCAUAAAGGGUGCGUAGGCGGUUUGGUCAGUCGAUGGUAAAAGCCCCCGGCUUAACCGGGGAAUGUCCGUCGAUACUGCCAAGCUAGAGAUCGAAAGGGGCAAGCGGAAUUCCAGGUGUAGCGGUGGAAUGCGUAGAUAUCUGGGAGAACGCCGAUGGCGAAGGCAGCUUGCUGGGUCGAUACUGACGCUGAGGCACGAAAGCUAGGGGAGCAAACAG
rnacentral:rRNA from 1 species